AGCCUAGCAGCUAGCUCGAGUUUUGCAACAUACAACAACCCCCUAUCAAUAAACCUUGACCACCCACAAAACCCUCAAACAAAACAUUUUGCCUCCCCAGUAUGGGCGACAGAAAAGGACGAAAUGAAGCAAUAGCAUUAGUACCGCAAGGGAAUGCUGAAAGAAAGAUGAAACAGAUUAGUAAAGCCUAAGAAAGCAGAGAUUGGUUCUCGUACCUUUUGCAUCAUGAUUUAGCAAGAAAGAGUCAGGCAGAAAGAAUUGUAGUCUGACACCCCGAAACCAAGUGAGCUACUCCAAGACAGCCUUAUAGGGCGAACCCGUCUCUGUGGCAAAAGAGUGGGAAGAUCUUUGAGUAGGGGUGACAGACCUACCGAGCUUGGUUAUAGCUGGUUGCUUAGGAAAUGAAUAGCAGUUCAGCCUUUUGUUCUCUUCCCCCACCAACUAGUUUCGCCACCCAAGCGAUCGAGAGAACUAAAAGAGUUAGUCAAAGGGGGUACAGCCCCUUUGAAAAUAGACACAACUUUCCCAGAAGGGUCAAGAUCAAACUAUAUUAGGAAUAAUGUUCUAGUUGGCCUAAAAGCAGCCACCCAAACAGAAAGCGUUAAAGCUCAUACAUAACUAACAUCCUACUAUCCUGACCAUACAAUCUUACCCCUCUAAACAUACUAAGCCUUCCCAUACCCUUAUGGGAGAGACGAUGCUAAUAUGAGUAAUAAGAGGGGACAGCCCCUCUCCUUGCACAAGUGUACAUCGGAACGAACCAACACCGACUAUUAACGGCCCCAUCAAAGGAGGGCACUGGAACACAUGACCUCCCCACUAGAAAAACAUCCAUGACAAACCGUUAACCUUACACCAGAGUGCCAACCAGGAAAGACUAACAGAAAAAGAAGGAACUCGGCA
rnacentral:rRNA from 1 species